AACUCAUAAACGGAUUACACAAUGAAUCAGUAACGAAACAACAGUAGGAACAAAAAAAUGAAAGCUCAGCAAGUAAGAUGGUGUGAAAAGUUACAUAUCCGAAUAUCCAUUCAUGUGAUAUAAUUAUCUAUUCUUUGUUCUUUUGUGUUAAAAAUGUUAUGAAUUCUAAUAAGAUUAUUGGCUCAUUUUCUCGUUUCGUUACUUGGAAAAAUUAAUUAAUAUUUCAACUAACACAAUCGAGCGAAGGAAAAACGUAUUUGUACUACUAUUUCAAUGCUAACCAUAUCAAUGUGUUUCGAAGAACGCAAUAAUUUAUUGUGAAUAUUUCGCUCUAUUAUAUUAAAUAAGGUUAACGUAAAUGAAUGUGCACAUUUUAGUGAAAUAAAACAGAAUAAAUCUCUUCUUACCUU